AUUGAACGCUGGCGGCAGGCCUAACACAUGCAAGUCGAGCGGAUGAAGAGAGCUUGCUCUCUGAUUCAGCGGCGGACGGGUGAGUAAUGCCUAGGAAUCUGCCUGGUAGUGGGGGACAACGUUUCGAAAGGAACGCUAAUACCGCAUACGUCCUACGGGAGAAAGUGGGGGAUCUUCGGACCUUACGCUAUCAGAUGAGCCUAGGUACGAUUAGCUAGUUGGUGAGGUAAAGGCUCACCAAGGCGACGAUCGUUAACUGGUCUGAGAGGAUGAUCAGUCACACUGGAACUGAGACACGGUCCAGACUCCUACGGGAGGCAGCAGUGGGGAAUAUUGGACAAUGGGCGAAAGCCUGAUCCAGCCAUGCCGCGUGUGUGAAGGAGGUCUUCGGAUUGUAAAGCACUUUAAGUUGGGAGGAAGGGCAGUAAGUUAAUACCUUGCUGUUUUGACGUUACCGACAGAAUAAGCACCGGCUAACUUCGUGCCAGCAGCCGCCGUAAAAC
rnacentral:rRNA from 1 species